UGGGGAAUAUUGCACAAUGGGCGAAAGCCUGAUGCAGCGACGCCGCGUGAGGGAUGACGGCCUUCGGGUUGUAAACCUCUUUCAGCAGGGAAGAAGCGCGAGUGACGGUACCUGCAGAAGAAGCACCGGCUAACUACGUGCCAGCAGCCGCGGUAAUACGUAGGGUGCGAGCGUUGUCCGGAAUUAUUGGGCGUAAAGAGCUCGUAGGCGGUCUGUCGCGUCGGAUGUGAAAGCCCGGGGCUUAACUCCGGGUCUGCAUUCGAUACGGGCAGACUAGAGUGUGGUAGGGGAGAUCGGAAUUCCUGGUGUAGCGGUGAAAUGCGCAGAUAUCAGGAGGAACACCGGUGGCGAAGGCGGAUCUCUGGGCCAUUACUGACGCUGAGGAGCGAAAGCGUGGGGAGCGAACAGGAUUAGAUACCCUGGUAGUCCACGCCGUAAACGUUGGGAACUAGGUGUUGGCGACAUUCCACGUCGUCGGUGCCGCAGCUAACGCAUUAAGUUCCCCGCCUGGGGAGUACGGCCGCAAGGCUAA
rnacentral:rRNA from 1 species